rnacentral:rRNA from 1 species
ACGCUGCCGGCGUGCCUAAUACAUGCAAGUCGAACGCUGGAGAUCUAGCUUGCUAGAUCGAAGGAGUGGCGAACGGGUGAGUAAUACAUAAGCAACCUACCCACGAAGACUGGGAUAAUCUCUGGAAACGGGGACUAAUACCGGAUAGGUAAUCGGAAGGCAUCUUCUGAUUAUUAAAGGUUAAAAACACUGGUGGAUGGGCUUAUGGCGCAUUAGUUAGUUGGUGAGGUAACGGCCCACCAAGACGAUGAUGCGUAGCCGGCCUGAGAGGGUGAACGGCCACAUUGGGACUGAGACACGGCCCAGACUCCUACGGGAGGCAGCAGUAGGGAAUUUUCGGCAAUGGGGGAAACCCUGACCGAGCAACGCCGCGUGAGUGAUGACGGCUUUCGGGUUGUAAAGCUCUGUUGUAAGGGAAGAACGGUAGAUAGAGAAUAUCUAAGUGACGGUACCUUACCAGAAAGCCACGGCUAACUACGUGCCAGCAGCCGCGGUAAUACGUAGGUGGCGAGCGUUAUCCGGAAUUAUUGGGCGUAAAGGGUGCGUAGGCGGCCUGUUAAGUAAGUGGUUAAAUUGUUGGGCUCAACCCAAUCCAGCCACUUAAACUGGCAGGCUAGAGUAUUGGAGAGGCAAGUGGAAUUCCAUGUGUAGCGGUAAAAUGCGUAGAUAUAUGGAGGAACACCUGUGGCGAAGGCGGCUUGCUAGCCAAAGACUGACGCUCAUGCACGAAAGCGUGGGGAGCAAAUAGGAUUAGAUACCCUAGUAGUCCACGCCGUAAACGAUGAAUACUAAGUAUUGGGGAAACUCAGUGCUGCACUAACGCAAUAAGUAUUCCGCCUGUGGAGUAUGCACGCAAGUGUGAAACAUAAAGGAAUUGACGGGGGCCCGCACAAGCGGUGGAGUAUGU